rnacentral:rRNA from 1 species
UACGUAGGGUGCAAGCGUUGUCCGGAUUUAUUGGGCGUAAAGAGCUCGUAGGCGGUUUGGCAAGUCGGGUGUGAAACCUCCAGGCUCAACCUGGAGUCGCCAUCCGAUACUGCUAUGACUUGAGUCUGGUAGGGGAUCACGGAAUUCCGGUGUAGCGGUGAAAUGCGUAGAUAUCGGAAGGAACACCAGUGGCGAAAGCGGCUUCCUGGUCCGACACCGACGUUCAGGCACGAAAGCGUGGGGAGCAAACAGG